rnacentral:rRNA from 1 species
UACGGGGGGGGCAAGCGUUGUUCGGAAUUCCUGGGCGUAAAGGGCUCGUAGGCGGCCAACUAAGUCCGACGUGAAAUCCCAAGGCUUAACCUUGGAACUGCGUCGGAUACUGGAUGGCUUGAAUUCGGGAGAGGGAUGCAGAAUUCCAGGUGUAGCGGUGAAAUGCGUAGAUAUCUGGAGGAAUACCGGUGGCGAAGGCGGCAUCCUGGACCGACAUUGACGCUGAUGAGCGAAAGCUAGGGGAGCAAACGGG